GCAGUCUGUUUCAGCAUGCCCUCCCGGUGACUCUGAUGCCAUCUGGAACUCCAGAACUGCUGCUCCUGAGGAGGAUGACGGCCCAGGGAGGUGUUUCCCUUCUUGCAUUGUUGAUUUCUUAUUUAUGCAGCUUCUGGCUCCUUCCCCAAAGGAUGCUGAGGGGUUGGUCUUAAGCAGCGUUGCCUUCCAGCCGACUCAGGAGCCCAGCGGUCAGUGGGCAUGUGACAGAAGAGUCAUAGGUUUUAACCUUUGAGGGGAUAGAGCUGCCAAUCAAAUAAUGUGAUCAGGACAAGUCACGACGUGAGACCACCAUCCACCUGCAGACGUGGGAGAGGGGCACAGUGUGAACUCCCGAGGUGUUUCAUUUUGAAAAUACACUGACAUUAGCCAACCCUGCCCCCUUAAAAGUCCUAGAAAAAGUGGCCACCUCUGUAGCCUAACACACAGAUUGUGGUCUUGAAAUGCCAUUUCCCAUUUUUUUGAAAAUUAAAAAACCAGGGUUUCUCAGAGACAUAGCUGAUUCCAGGGCUGGAAAUGUACAAGAGAAGGCUGGAAUAUUUUGUUUUCCCAAAUGGCAAGGGAACUGUCAAAGAGAGACUCCUGGGAUUAUGCUAAAAGAACUCUGAAGCCAGCUUGAAAAGGCUCCCCCUGGUCAAAGACAUGACCAUGGGAGCUUCAGGAAGGAUAAUAUUGCAUUGGAUUGAAACCCAUCUACGUUUACAUUCAUGAGUUCACAAAGAUGUUUUUAAAAACUAGUGGAUCUCCUUCGGAGGAUGAUAGGAACUGGCUUGUUAUCUUGAAACCGGUCAAGGGCGGGAAUCAAGCAGUGAUUCUGCCUUCCUGUUUCCAUUGGUAACAAACUAUAUAUAGAUGAGAGGAAGCCUCUCCUGAUGAAAGUAUCCCAACUAAUACAUUAAAAGGCAAUUGAUAGGAUUGGAAUAUCACAGUUUUGCAACCCCCAGGGAAUGAGUGGAUCUGGAUAUUGAACAUUAGUGAUACUGACAUCACAAACAGAGACCACCAGCCACAAGGAGCCUCCUGAUGGAAACACACAAGACCAAAGGGAUAGAGCCUUAGCCUGAUCCAGCCUCUGGAUCCCACUGCCAGUUUGCAGGAAAUUCCCAGGACAGAGGGCCAUGCAGCACUGCACCUGGAGUGUACAACCAGCAGAAUCCAGACUGUGGGGAACGCUACAGCAGCCCUAGGAAACAAAUGCAGAUGGGAACCGUGUUGGUUAAAGAACUGUCCAGGACAUAGGAAGCGAUGAACAUAUGACCGUAAAAACCGUAACAGUUGCAAGGACGAUUCCCUGGGGUAGAAUAGGAUCUCAUUCUCCAGAGUUGUUGAAGACAAAACGUUUCCUCUUCCUGAUCUUGCUGACAUUUCUUUCACCAGCAGCACAGUGAUUGGCACGAAGGGAAAAGAAAGGUCUGUGGAGCUCAUAACUUAUAUUAUGCAAAGGAGCGGGACAGUGCAGACUUAUCAACGCAUGGAAUAUGGGGCGUGAAAAUGUUUGCAGUGUACAUAUAAAGCCCGGGGUAGCAGACGUGGCAGUGUCUCCAGCCCCCUGACCCUCAGCAUCCCCUCCUCUGCAGAAAGCUGCUUCCCGAGAACAUCUGACUCCCCAUCGAGGGUGCUCUUUCAACUGCAGGAACACGGUCAGCCCCCCCAUCAGGGAGGACCAGAUGCCCCCCUUCCCAGCCCUGCCUCAUUCCCCUCUGCCAGCGUUUCCGGGGGUCACCUCUCAAACAACAUGUGUUCAAAUCUUUGGGUUUGGGAGAACCCAAAGCAAGACACUGAGAAAAACUCUAACGAAGUAGGAGGAGGUGUUUACCCUAAAACACCUGGUUACAGAGAACACCUGUAGCCAUUACCCGACACUUCCUCCCACCACCACUGCCCCGCCCCCAGCUCCUCCCACUCAGCAACUCUGCUGGAUGGAUAGGUGGGUGGUCCGGGAGCCCAUCCCACUCCCACUGGGGAAGUUGAGAAGGACGGGUCUCUCCCUCCCCUUGCAUAGUCCUGGCAGACCUGACAUCCUUCCACCAAAUUCCCUUUCUGUUUAAAAUAACCAGUCAGUGUCUGCUGCUUGCAGACGGGAGGUUGGUAACUGAUACAGCCAGGUGAAGCUUAGCGUUAACUGAGCACGAAACAGAGCACGGAGGUUCCUGACAGCUAAGACCAAAAGUUCAAUGCUGGGAAAAAAGUGGACAGUUCAUCAAGGGAGAAAAGCUUUUCUGUUGUUGGUUUUCAUUUGUUUGUUUGCUUUGGUAAGUUAUCAUAUCCCAUGAUGCUCGCCAG